UCUUGUCAGAAUACAAACUAAUCUGAACUUCGUCUAGUAUUAUAAUAUUGCGCAGUACGCACUUAUUUUGAGUUGAAUUUGUACUGGACUCUUAUGAUCAACGAUUUCAAGGUGUGGAAAUUGAGAAAGUUAAAAGAAGGAUUGAAGGCAUUCCGAGAAUUGAAAUCAGAGACCCUUCACCCUGAGCUCUAAUCGAAGUUCCCAUUUUUUUAUGUUUAAAGUAGUCAGUUUUUAGUUAUUAGAUCUUUUAUUCAAGGUCUCUAUAAACUUCAAUGACUAUAUUACUGUUCAACAAAUUGUUAGUGCUGCCUGACUGCUUAAAACAGCUAGUUUAAAGAUCACGUGGAUAAUUAGUUCCAUUGUCCCCUGUUCAUUAAACGUUCUCUCACAAUAAACUUCUGUGUGCAGGACUAUGCGAACAGAAUGCCAAGGUAUUCUGUUGAUAAAUAGGGUUAAGGCAGGUCUUUCUUAUAUGAAGACUUUUAGAUCAAACUUAAACAGAAUUGGCGCCAUUUGAUUAUUUGGUGUCCUUUGCUGGACAAGUUUAAGUCCGAAUACAGGUUUAAGUCAGAUUUUCAUUUUCAGAUGACUAUAAGAAUAAAGGUACAAGAAAGAAGCUAUUGACUGCAGUAGAUUUUUUUUUGCUCUCUGCAAAGGAAUCUUGUCAGGAACCAAAUGGAUCUUAAGGUAGUAGGCCUCUAUAUUAUUUUACUUGUAAAGUUGACUUAGCAUCAGAUUCUCUGGUCACAAACUUGAGUGUAAGGGAACAACUAAUAAAAAAUAAACUGUGGGAGCAUUCCGAGAAUUGAACUCAGGACCUCUUGCACCCUAUUGUUCCAUAAACCCGUAGUUUGGAUGUUACAUAAACCUU